UACGAAGGGGGCUAGCGUUGCUCGGAAUCACUGGGCGUAAAGGGUGCGUAGGCGGGUCUUUAAGUCAGGGGUGAAAUCCUGGAGCUCAACUCCAGAACUGCCUUUGAUACUGAGGAUCUUGAGUUCGGGAGAGGUGAGUGGGAACUGCGAGUGUAGAGGUGAAAUUCGUAGAUAUUCGCAAGAACACCAGUGGCGAAGGCGGCUCGCUGGAACGUUACUGACGCUGAGACGCGAAAGCGUGGGGAGCAAACAGGGAUUAAGA
rnacentral:rRNA from 1 species